UUGGCCUAGCAUCGAUCGAUGCUAUCAAUGUGUCGAUCGAUGCACUCUCUCAAUUUCGUCUCCCAACUUUGUAACUCAGCCUCAAUGCUUGAUUAAGCUCCAAAUCCUCCAAUUUAGCUCCAUUAUGCUUCCAUCCAUGUUAAAUCCUAUAAAGACUCAAAAAACUCUAAAAACACCAAAAAGACUCUAUAAUUAAGACUUAUAUCAUGACUCGACUCACAAUUCUAUGGAUCAAGCGGAGGAGGCGGCAGUGAAGAAUUUCUUUAUCGUGUUUUUAUUGGAUUAAGAUCAACUCCAGUGAUGAAACCAAUCGCUGUUUGAUCCGGUGGCUGAUAGGUUUUUACGGCGUUUCUAGAUCUGUUGGCUUGGACAGAGGAAGAACCACGAGACUAGCUUUCAUUUCUUAAUUGGAUCUCCCUGGUAAACUCAUCUUAAAUCCUUGAACUAAUAAUCCUUUUGUUAUCAAUUUUCUAGAUUUGAUGUAAAUACUGAUUUGUGUAGAGGUUGAAUCUGAAAUUGUAUAUUUUCUGUUUAUAUUCUAGGAAAAUCCGUUAAUCUCAGAAUUGUGUAUUUCUGCUUUUGUUCUAGGACUUGAACGGACAGGUUCAAUUAUAUAUUGGUGGUAUUCUUAUGUUACACCAAGUAAAUGGAAUAAUGUUGUAUAAAGUACUAUUCUUUCUACACAAUGUUACUGAUGCUUCUUGUGUUUCAUUUGUACCAUGAUCGCAAGACUGCUUAAAAACGGAGGAUGUGUGGGAGAAUAUAUUGGUGAUGUAUUUUUUUUUUAGCUCGGUUUCUGGACCAUUUUUCUCUAUUGUUAAACCGGUAAACUUUAUCUGAAAAUGAUUUCUUUAGAGACUUGCAAAGCCACAAACUUAGUCUUCAUUGUUGUAUGUUCUGUUUGCUGUGUAGUGUGGCUUAACAAGGAUUAUGAUGAGUAACCAUUGUUUGUUUCUUUGUUAGGCUUGCAAGCAUGACAGAUACAAAACAUGUGUAGAAAGUCUCCAACCAAACCAUUUAGCUGCUGAAGAAUUUGUUCUCAAACCAUUUAGCUGCUGAAGAAUUUGUUAAUUCCUCAAGUUCAGAGUCUUCUUGAAAAGUUGGCCACACCACACCCAACAAUACGAUGCUUGCCCACAAGAAAAGUCACGGCGUAGCAGCUAUGGCCAGCUGUGGCUAGAACUUGAACAGAGAGGUAGCCGUAUAGCUCAUUGAUAUCAUGGACAACAACAAGAUGGCUGCUCCCGUGUCGGAUCUGUGGACGGCGGGAGACCAUAGUCUCCAAGAAUGAGUGGCCACAUUUUGUGGACCGCAGAAGGUGUUACUGCCAAAAAGACCAACAAAUUACCUCUUCUUUACUUAGAAGGAAAGGCGAGUUGCUUGGUGACCGCAGAAGGUGAUACUCCUUUGGAGUUUACUCCUAAUUUACAUAUGACUGAUAUUUUCUCAUCCUCAUUUGUUCAUAUACGAGUAGGAUGAAGCAAUGUUGUCCUAUUCAGCUUGGUUAAUUAUGUUUUCUUUAUCCUACAGUGGAAACCAAAUGAAUAAAAAAUCUAUUACCUUCAGUGCAAUAUUGACUUCAUUUA